rnacentral:lncRNA from 1 species
AAAAUAGCACAGGAUGCAUCUGCCACUCCUAUGCAGAAUGCUUGUCAAUACCUCUAAAUACCUUCUCUGCCACUAUUCUCACUCAUUACAUCGGGUGGUAAUAAAGCCACUAAACUGAUGGCAUAAAACAAGGAUUGGUAAACAAUCCUUAAAGGGCUAGAUAAUAAUAUGUCAGGGUUAUUUAGGUUAUAUUGCUUUUGUUACAAGUGCAGGACUCUGCUACUGUAGCUUAAAAGCAGCCAAACAAAAGGCAAAUAAAUGAACAUGGCUGAGUUCCAAUGGAAUUUUAUUUACAAAAAGAGAUUUCAAGCCCAACAGUAGUUUGCUGACCCCUGGAGUAGACAAUGAGGACGGACCUAAUCAACUACUCUCACAAAGUCUCUCUUAAACAAGAACUGGACUGAAUUAUUCUAGUAAUUGAGAACACCUGGCGUUACCAGAGGGCGAGGAGGUCACAUAGGAGGUAAAAGAAGAAUGUGAACUUUAAAAGAAAUUCAGUGGGGGAAUCCUGGCAUUUUUAUUCCAAAAGCUAGAUGCCAGAUGCCUGAAGAACGACCGACAGAGAUUGUUAUUGGUCAUCACUGGUCAUGGCUUAAAUGUGCAAAAAAUGUAAUAUCAUGAGGGAAAGAGGAGCAGGUGAGAAACUGAAAACACUAGAAGAGCAUUUCAUGGUUAUAGGAAGAUGUGAUUUAUGGAUAUAAAGUUCCUGAAAAUAAAUGUUUAUUACCUGGAUUCAAAUACACAACAAA